rnacentral:rRNA from 1 species
UACCAGCACCCCGAGUGGUCGGGACGUUUAUUGGGCCUAAAGCAUCCGUAGCCGGUUCUACAAGUCUUCCGUUAAAUCCAGCCGCUCAACGGUUGGGCUGCGGAGGAUACUACGUGGCUAGGAGGCGGGAGAGGCAAGCGGUACUCAGUGGGUAGGGGUAAAAUCCUUUGAUCCAUUGAAGACCACCAGUGGCGAAGGCGGCUUGCCAGAACGCGCUCGACGGCGAGGGAUGAAAGCUGGGGGAGCAAACCGG